rnacentral:rRNA from 1 species
AAUAGAUACCCUGGUAGUCCACGCAGUAAACGAUGCAGACUAGGCGUGGGGGGGACUUGACCCCCUCCGUGCCGGAGCUAACGCGUGAAGUCUGCCGCCUGGGGAGUACGGCCGCAAGGCUAAAACUCAAAGGAAUUGACGGGGGGCCCGCACAAGCGGCGGAGCGUGCGGUUUAAUUCGACGCAACGCGUAGAACCUUACCAGGGUUUGACAUGCACCUGCAGAGCCGUGAAAGCGGUUGGCCUUCGAGGGUGGUGCACAGGUGCUGCAUGGCUGUCGUCAGCUCGUGUCGUGAGAUGUUGGGUUAAGUCCCGCAACGAGCGCAACCCUCGUGGCUAGUUGCCGAUGUUUCUAGCCAGACUGCCGGUAGCAAGCCGGAGGAAGGUGGGGAUGAUGUCAAGUCAGCAUGGCCCUUACAUCCUGGGCUACACGCACGCUACAAUGGCCGGGACAAUGGGCAGCCAAACCGCAAGGUGGAGCGAAUCCCCCAAACCCGGUCUCAGUUCAGAUCGCGGGCUGCAACUCGCCC